GUUUCUCCACCUCCUCCAGAGAGUCAGUUCUGACUCAGAACAAAGUACAUAAAGGCAGGGAUGGUGCGUGAAGCCUCAUUAACUUAAUCUGUGGCUCACCCUACAAAUGGCUUGUCCACCAUUUUGGAUUCUUCGCCAAACAAACAUAGUUCUUGUAUAAAGAGCACCUGCAAGUAGGUCUGCUUCAAGCAAAAGAAAGUACUACUAGAGCAAACAGAAAAUGCUGUGAGGAAGGUAUGGGAUGGUCCAUAAACGUAUCACAAAUCAUACUGGACAACAAAAGGUUUUGCCAUCUCAUUGGUCAGCUCUCUUUCCAAAUCUUGAGUAAAUAACACUGCAGACACCUGAGAAGAAUCCAUAGCAAGCGGAUUGCUUUCCAAUGUGCCUCUGCGACCUGCCUUGGAGACGCAGAAAAAUGUAAGUCACAUCAAGUCACUUGCAAAAGGACCUCUAGCACCAGAAGUGGCCAAUGCUAGCAGACUAUGUUGCCCCCACCCUAUCUCUGCUUCAAAUGCAGAAACACUGCGAGCUCUGGCUUCGGACUCCCCAAAUACCCUGGCUACUGCAUCCCAGCCAACUCCCCCAGAGCCACAACAAGAAAAAGUGGUCCAAUAAUUUACUAUUGAUGGAAGGACUACCCCUGUCCCUUUGGAUCACCAAACAGGACGCUACAAAUAAAAGAAUAGGUGCUGCUUCAAAGAUCCCUAAACUGGACCCCACCAAUUGGCUCCCCCUUGUAGCUUAUGCAAGGCAACUCCAUCUCCAGAUGGCAUAGUGCUUCCUCAGAGAAUGUCCAGCCCAACGCCAUCAUCAAAAGAAUCAGCACCUCCUCCCCAGCAGGUAACUUCAUGGGAUCCAGUCAUCGGAAGGGCUAGCACUACCUCACAGGUUGCCCCUCGAGACCCACACAAUGGGACCUCGUUCCUAGACAGACCAGCAUGGCCUCCAAGACCACCCAAUGAGACCUUGGCCCCAGAAGGUCUCUCACUGCAUCAAAGAUCCCCCAGACAGAAUUCAUUCACAGAAGGACCAGUGUUGUCCCUGGA